GACGAACGCUGGCGGCGUGCUUAACACAUGCAAGUCGAGCGGUAAGGCCCUUUCGGGGGUACACGAGCGGCGAACGGGUGAGUAACACGUGGGUGACCUGCCCUCAGCUCUGGGAUAAGCCUGGGAAACCGGGUCUAAUACCGGAUAUGACUCCAUGACGCAUGUUGUGGGGUGGAAAGCCUUGUGCGGCUGAGGAUGGGCCCGCGGCCUAUCAGCUUGUUGGUGGGGUGAGGCCUACCAAGGCGACGACGGGUAGCCGGCCUGAGAGGGCGACCGGCCACACUGGGACUGAGACACGGGCCCAGACUCCUACGGGAGGCAGCAGUGGGGAAUCUUGCGCAAGUGGGCGAAAGCCUGACGCAGCGACGCCGCGUGAGGGAUGACGGCCU
rnacentral:rRNA from 1 species